AUUGAACGCUGGCGGAAUGCUUUACACAUGCAAGUCGAACGGCAGCACGGACUUCGGUCUGGUGGCGAGUGGCGAACGGGUGAGUAAUAUACCGGAACGUAUCCAAUAAUGGGGGAUAACUAAUCGAAAGGUUGGCUAAUACCGCAUACGCCUACGGGGAAAGGACUAGGAUCGCAAGACCUGGCGUUAAUGGAGCGGCCGAUAUCUGAUUAGCUAGUUGGUGGGGUAAAGGCUCACCAAGGCGACGAUCAGUAGCUGGUCUGAGAGGACGACCAGCCACACUGGAACUGAGACACGGUCCAGACUCCUACGGGAGGCAGCAGUGGGGGAAUUUUGGACAAUGGGCGGCAAGCCUGAUCCAGCCAUUCCGCGUGAGUGAAGAAGGCCUCGGUUGGUAAGUA
rnacentral:rRNA from 1 species